CAGUAGCCGCGGUAAUACGUAGGUGGCAAGCGUUGUCCGGAAUUAUUGGGCGUAAAGGGCUCGCAGGCGGUUUCUUAAGUCUGAUGUGAAAGCCCCCGGCUCAACCGGGGAGGGUCAUUGGAAACUGGGAAACUUGAGUGCAGAAGAGGAGAGUGGAAUUCCACGUGUAGCGGUGAAAUGCGUAGAGAUGUGGAGGAACACCAGUGGCGAAGGCGACUCUCUGGUCUGUAACUGACGCUGAGGAGCGAAAGCGUGGGGAGCGAACAGGAUUAGAUAUCCCCGUAGUCCCUGUCUCUUAUAC
rnacentral:rRNA from 1 species